ensembl:lncRNA
AUCUCUAGCUGGAGAUUCUUCCGCUUGGAGCCUUUCUGCGAGCCCAGGACAUGGGUAGCAUAAUGGACCUCUCUAGCUGCUCUUAUGAUCAUCACUGCUCGUCGCUUUAUUCUGACUAAUCACUGUAUGGCUAAACUGUGUCAAGAUGCCACACGUUUUUCUCUACGGUUCUUCCAACCUGUCAUUACUGUAAUGAGUGUCACACCAUGGCAUCUGCUGUGCCAUCAUACAUCACACAGCCUGGUUCCUCUGAUGUUAAUUUCACGAAUCAUAUGGAGCAUUUGUGUGGAGGAGAAAUAUUUCAAAAUCACGUGGCCAACUUAACAGCCUCUAUAUGCAAACAGUCAAAUCUUGCUGCUUCUCAGUUUCCACCUUCAAGUGUGAUUCCCAGUUCUACUGAAGUGAUCUUCACAGUGGUCUUGCAGCCACUUCUGUACCUGCUACAGCCAGAAAAAGAAGCAACUUAUCCUUUCACUGUGCUGCCCUUCUAUGGCCUGUGUUGUAAUUGAGUGUGUGGCUUGUGUUAGUUAUAAUAAUAUUUUCUGUGGAAAUGCUCAGGUAUUUUCUUUACUGAGAACCUUUUUGCUUAAAUAGCUCAUUCCUGGAAUCUUCAUAUUGUCAGUAUCAUGACUCUAUAUGUGACCUUAGCAAUGUAUACCACUGAUCUACCUGGUGAGUAAACUGGUAGAGCUUGCUGUGCAAAUAAGAAGCGCACAAUAAGAUCUGAUGCCAAAUGAUAAUGCAAUGUGAAAACAUUUCUUUUGAAUAAUCCUAAGCUGUUGGUUGUACUUGUGUGCCAUGGCCUGUUGAAAAAAGUGAAGAAGUCUGCAGAUUUGGAGAGUGGAUGACGAAAGUCAGGAGUGUAUUUUGAAGCAGAAAUGAGAAGCCUUUACUGGAAAGAGAAGGGUGAUUAAAAAUGUGAGCUGAAAAAAAAUCAUGCAUAUAAGGAAAGAGCGUGAGGAAGAAUGGAGGAAAGAGUGAGUUUCUUAGGAAAGGGAGUUUGCUAUUUAUCUGUUGUCUGGCUUUGGCUUUUCUAGGCUUCAGACAGCUAAACUAGUUGGAAGCAGAAUAGAAAUAGCAAUGCUUUUUUGUGUGUGUUUAUGCGUAAAAACAAAAGAUGAUAAAGUAUACAAAAUAAAUGCUUAUAAGUUAGCAAGUCUCAAAGAUCAUCAACC